GACUUACUUGGUUUGUGUUUGGGCAUCCAACACAUCGUCUUACCACUGCAGUCCAUGAAAAGUGCACUGACAAGAACAUUGGGAUCUCCAGGUAGUUGUUUCUACCCAGGAAGAGACGAGGGAAGACCACCAAAGCAGUGUGGUAGCCGGGAAAUUACAGAUAAGGAUCAUGGCCCUGUUCAGUUUCUUCAUCCACCACCCAUGAAGAGGCAUCGCCUAAGAAGCUGUGAUUCUGUUUCACCCAUGUGAACAAGGCAAUCCUCAGGAGGUCCAAAAGCAGCUAGAAGAACAUAGACCCCUGGAGAACUUUGUGGAGAAGGGCUUCUAGAAGUCUCUGGUUUGCCCUUCAACAGCACAUUUAUAUGACAAAGAAAAUUUUCUAUCUUGCUUAAUCAUUGUUACUUGGUCUUUAUGGUACUAAUCAAAUAAACAUCCUAACUGAAAAAAA